CGAGCGGUAAGGCCCUUCGGGGUACACGAGCGGCGAACGGGUGAGUAACACGUGGGUGAUCUGCCUCGUACUCUGGGAUAAGCCUGGGAAACUGGGUCUAAUACCGGAUAUGACCACGAAUCGCAUGAUUUGUGGUGGAAAGAUUUAUCGGUGCGAGAUGGGCCCGCGGCCUAUCAGCUUGUUGGUGGGGUAAUGGCCUACCAAGGCGACGACGGGUAGCCGGCCUGAGAGGGCGACCGGCCACACUGGGACUGAGACACGGCCCAGACUCCUACGGGAGGCAGCAGUGGGGAAUAUUGCACAAUGGGCGGAAGCCUGAUGCAGCGACGCCGCGUGAGGGAUGACGGCCUUCGGGUUGUAAACCUCUUUCGACAGGGACGAAGCGCAAGUGACGGUACCUGUAGAAGAAGCACCGGCCAACUACGUGCCAGCAGCCGCGGUAAUACGUAGGGUGCGAGCGUUGUCCGGAAUUACUGGGCGUAAAGAGCUUGUAGGCGGUUCGUCGCGUCGAUCGUGAAAACUUGCAGCUCAACUGCGAGCUUGCGGUCGAUACGGGCGGACUAGAGUACUGCAGGGGAGACUGGAAUUCCUGGUGUAGCGGUGAAAUGCGCAGAUAUCAGGAGGAACACCGGUGGCGAAGGCGGGUCUCUGGGCAGUAACUGACGCUGAGAAGCGAAAGCGUGGGUAGCGAACAGGAUUAGAUACCCUGGUAGUCCACGCCGUAAACGGUGGGCGCUAGGUGUGGGUUUCCUUCCACGGGAUCCGUGCCGUAGCUAACGCAUUAAGCGCCCCGCCUGGGGAGUACGGCCGCAAGGCUAAAACUCAAAGGAAUUGACGGGGGCCCGCACAAGCGGCGGAGCAUGUGGAUUAAUUCGAUGCAACGCGAAGAACCUUACCUGGGUUUGACAUACACCAGAAAGCCGUAGAGAUACGGCCCCCCUUGUGGUUGGUGUACAGGUGGUGCAUGGCUGUCGUCAGCUCGUGUCGUGAGAUGUUGGGUUAAGUCCCGCAACGAGCGCAACCCUUGUCCUGUGUUGCCAGCGCGUUAUGGCGGGGACUCGCAGGAGACUGCCGGGGUCAACUCGGAGGAAGGUGGGGACGACGUCAAGUCAUCAUGCCCCUUAUGUCCAGGGCUUCACACAUGCUACAAUGGCCGGUACAGAGGGCUGCGAUACCGUGAGGUGGAGCGAAUCCCUUAAAGCCGGUCUCAGUUCGGAUCGGGGUCUGCAACUCGACCCCGUGAAGUUGGAGUCGCUAGUAAUCGCAGAUCAGCAACGCUGCGGUGAAUACGUUCCCGGGCCUUGUACACACCGCCCGUCACGUCAUGAAAGUCGGUAACACCCGAAGCCGGUGGCCUAACCCUUGUGGAGG
rnacentral:rRNA from 1 species